CAGAAGCAGGGGAUAACACUUGGAAACAGGUGCUAAUACCGUAUAACAACAAAAUCCGCAUGGAUUUUGUUUGAAAGGUGGCUUCGGCUAUCACUUCUGGAUGAUCCCGCGGCGUAUUAGUUAGUUGGUGAGGUAAAGGCCCACCAAGACGAUGAUACGUAGCCGACCUGAGAGGGUAAUCGGCCACAUUGGGACUGAGACACGGCCCAAACUCAUACGGGAGGCAGCAGUAGGGAAUCUUCCACAAUGGACGAAAGUCUGAUGGAGCAAUGCCGCGUGAGUGAAGAAGGGUUUCGGCUCGUAAAACUCUGUUGUUAAAGAAGAACACCUUUGAGAGUAACUGUUCAAGGGUUGACGGUAUUUAACCAGAAAGCCACGGCUAACUACGUGCCAGCAGCCGCGGUAAUACGUAGGUGGCAAGCGUUGUCCGGAUUUAUUGGGCGUAAAGCGAGCGCAGGCGGUUUUUUAAGUCUGAUGUGAAAGCCUUCGGCUUAACCGGAGAAGUGCAUCG
rnacentral:rRNA from 1 species